rnacentral:rRNA from 1 species
AUUGAACGCUGGCGGCAUGCCUUACACAUGCAAGUCGAACGGCAGCACGGGAGCAAUCCUGGUGGCGAGUGGCGAACGGGUGAGUAAUAUAUCGGAACGUGCCCAGUCGUGGGGGAUAACGUAGCGAAAGCUACGCUAAUACCGCAUACGAUCUAUGGAUGAAAGCGGGGGGAUCGCAAGACCUCGCGCGAUUGGAGCGGCCGAUAUCAGAUUAGGUAGUUGGUGAGGUAAAGGCUCACCAAGCCGACGAUCUGUAGCUGGUCUGAGAGGACGACCAGCCACACUGGGACUGAGACACGGCCCAGACUCCUACGGAGGCAGCAGUGGGGAAUUUUUGGACAAUGGGCGCAAGCCUGAUCCAGCAAUGCCGCGUGCAGGAUGAA